UCUCCCACUUCACUUAAUAUCAUUUGAUUAUUUAUUUAAAGGUUAUUAUAGGAACUAGAUCAGAUAUAUAUUUUAAUAUUGUAAAAAUGUCACUUGAAACCUGCACUUACUUAUUUUUGUCCAACAGUGAAACACUCCUUGCAGCUUUUCGUCACUGCAUCUUCUGGGAUACCAAACUUACCAGAGUUUGUGGGAGUAGCAGUGGUUGAUGAUACUGUGGUGGGUCACUAUGACAGCAACAUAAGGAGAGUUGAACUCAAACUGGACUGGACGAAGAAAUUUAUAAAAGGUGACCCCCACCACAUGGAGUACUACACUAACGAGUGUUUAAAGAACUGGCAUAUCCUGAGAGUGAGCAUUGACGGUCUGAAGCAGCGCUUAAACAAAACUGGAGAUGUCCAUGUCCUUCAGAGGAUGAAUAGCUGUGAAUGGGAUGAUGAGACUAGAGAUAUCGCAGGUUAUAAUCAGUUUGGCUAUGAUUGAGAAGACUUCCUUUCACUGGACCUGCAGACUCUGACUUGGACUACACCAAAACCACAGGCUCUCACCACCAAACUGAGUUGGGAUACUGAUAAAGACAGACUAGAAUACAAUAAAAACUAUUAUAUCAACACGUGCCCUAACUUCCUGAAGAAGUAUGUAUGCUAUGGGAGGAUCUUUCAGAGAAUAGACGUCGCCUCAGUGUCUCUCCUCCAGAAGACUCCCUCCUCUUCAGUCAGCUGCCACA